rnacentral:lncRNA from 1 species
UUCUGUUGAACAUAGACUACUCGAAUACACUUGUAUUUUAACUGUCACCUUCAUAUUCAUGUCAAUAUAAAGACACUCAUAUAUUGGGAUUGAUGGAGGCCAUAGUUUAAUCCAAAAUGUAAAAUAACCAAAUGGGAUGAGGAAUUGGCUUGGAUUUGGACAAACUUUGACUUGAUGUUCUGUUGGAUUAUUAGGAUGUUACUUUCCUCUUCGCCAACCAGAUAUUGAAAAAAUAAAUCACAAAAUAUAUUUUGCACCCUAACCAAAUACAAGAAAAAUAGAUGAAAAGUAACUUAUUUUCCAUAAAAUAUAUACAUACAUGGGCACAUUCGAUUUAGCGGUGACAAAGAGAGCACCACAAAGCCUAAACAUUUUUCCCGUCUUUAUCAGACCAAUGGAAAGGGUCGUCAAUGCGUGUUAUAAACCGUGUAGAAAUCCUGAAAUAGGAGUUGGAAGUUGUUAGGAAGCUUCAUUUUAAUCCUUUGAUUGAAAAGUAGAGAAAAGAAGAGAAUGCAUGCCUAUUUGACCAUUGGAUUGAACAGGCAUUUCAUUAUUGAAAAUCUUAGCAUAUGUUACGUUAAUCAUGAAGUAACAUCACCAUACAGAUUAUCUUAUAACUAGUUUCUGGGCACGUGCAUUUCAUCGUGUAUGUCGAGUCAUGUAAUACGUAAUUUUAUAAAAUAAUGCAAUAUUAUUAAAAUAAACUUUUGAGUAAUUAUUAUACAUGAAAGAUUAAAGUACAAGAAAUAUACUAUUCGUUAUACUUUGGGUCCAAAUAUACUUCUGUCGUAAACUAUUGGUUCAAAUAUACCCUUCUUUUGUUAAGUUUGUCCAAGGUGAACAUUCAAUCCUACGUGACACUGAUAUUUGAUGAGAUGGAUACCACAUGACAUGCCACCUCAGCGCCCCUAACCCAUUUUACCCCUCCCUUUUAUUUUUUUCCACGACUAAAACUUGAUUCCCCUCCACUAUUUUCACCAUUACCAAUACCAUGAAAAAUAUUAUAUUUCUAAUUUUAGUCUUUUAUGGCAUCCACAUCAUUAAAUAUCAGUGCCACGUAGGAGCGGAUGUCCACUUUGGACAAAUUUAAUGGAAAAUGAGUUUAUUUGAACCAAUAGUAUAACUAGGGGUGCACAAAUAAAACCGACAAACCGCACCAACCCGAUAAUUCGAGUCAAACCGAGAAAAAAAAAUCCGACUAUGGUUUGGUUUGAUUGGUUUGGUGUUGGAAAAUAAAACCCGACGAUAUUUGGUUUGGUUUGAUUUUAACUAAAAAAAGUCAAACCGAAACCAAACCAACCCGACAUUAUAUGUAUAGAAGUUUUAAAUAUAUUUAAUGCAUGAAAAUAUUUAUUGUAGUGUAGUUUAGAAAUAUUUCUUAAAUAUUUUCAUAAUUUUAUCUUUUAACGUAUUAUUCUAAGCUUGGACUUAUAAUUUUUGGAUGCUCCAAUAAGUUUUAUAGUCCAUAAAUAUUAGUAACUCAAAAAAAUCCUAAACUAAAAUCAAAUCAAUACUAAUGAUAAUAAAAGACAUUCAAUUCAAUUGUACUAUGAAUGAAAAUAGUGUUGGAUAUCUAUUUUUUAGUUUUUUCAUGGUUUAGAUAAAAUGCAUAACUUAUUUUUCUUUUAGUGUUUAGUCAUGUAAAUAAUAGUACUUAUUAGUCGUACUUAUUUUAGCAACUUAUUCGUAAUUUUAAAUUAUAUUUGUUUUCAUUAUAGCUUAUUAAUAAUAUUUAUUUUAUGCGAUUUUCUCAUCUUUAUUGUUGAAUAUUUUAGUACAAUGCCAUGAAUCAUUUCAUAUUUAUAUUAUUUUAUUAAAAACACCUUAUAUAGUUCUACCUUACUAGGAUUAAAAAAAUAUUUGGAGCACAAAUUCUAUGUUUUGUGCUAUGAAAACUUUAUGAAAAAAAUUCGAGAAAAACAGAGAUUUAAAAACCCGACUUUGAUUGGUUUGGUUUGGUUUUUAGAUUUAAUAACCCGAUAUAAUUAGUUUGAUUUGGUAAUUAAAAAAUCCGAACCAACCCGACCUAUAUACACCCCUAAGUAUAACAACAAGUAUAUAUAUGGGCUCAAAGUAUAACAAUAUGUACAUUUAAACUUUUACUGAUAGUACUCUGAGAUAUAUUUGAUAAAGACAAUACCAAUUUGUUUCUCAUUCAAGCUAUUAGCAUUUAAAACAUGUAAAUUUCAAUUAAAGAGGCUGAUGCGCCGUUGGACGUGACAAACUACUGAACUAUCAAUUAAAAUUGACUUGUACAAUCUCAACUAUAUAUAUAUAUAUGGCGUCAUGUUUGAUGGAUAGGAGUGAAGGAAGCUUCCCAUUUCUUUCUUUAAAACCACUUAUUCUAGAAUCCUUUUCUUCCCUAUUUAAUGAUGAAUUGAUCAUUUUCAAUAUUCAUUCCCCAUCAUAUGAUCUGAUUCUGUCAAUGCUUUCCUGUUUUAUACGAACUCCAAAAAAACAAGUUCACGUACGGCCAUAUAUAUAUCCAGCUAACUAGUAUAGGAUGAUGGAGGAUCAAGACAUACAGUGGAGGAAUUGACCUUGAAGCUCAGGGGAAUUCGCCGCUGCUAAUUACUGAUGAGGAGGUCAGCUCUCAUUGUCCGAUCUGCUCAGAUGUUCAUUGAAGCUGGAGCAAAAAUAGCAUCUCUUUCUCGAGUGACGUCAUCCUCCACCAUCAAUAUUUAUGCUCCUCUUAACAGCUUUAAUCUUCAACAAUAUGGAGUACGUAUAUAAACAUAUAUACCUCUCCUUCUUCAUUAUAGCUAAAGUACCAUCUUAAUUUUAAGUUAUAUAUACUGCAUGCAUUAAUAACACUACUAUUAUUCUCUUUCUAACUAGGAAUUGGAAGCUUCUGGAGAUCAAAUACAGCUUGAUGAAGUUGUCGCAGCUUCACCUGAUGGUGCCUGGCAUGUUAAUAUUGUACAAUCAGACAAUGAUCAUAUUGAGAUUGAGCUUCAGCCUCAUCAGCAUUGCUUACAGAUUAGCAAGAUUAAUGAGAUUGUGAAGGAGAAGAACAUGGAUUCACUUCACAAUUUUGGAGGAGUAAAGGGGGUUGUAGAAGCAUUGAGUAGUGAUGUCGAGAAAGGAAUUCAUGUUGGAGACAUUUCUCGCCGCAAGGGGAUAGACUUGUCUCAUCACAUGACCUUCACUGAGUAUGGCCACUUCUUCCUACAAUUAGCACGCAAGGAACCAACAAUUUUGCUCCUUGCAGUGGCUGCAAUAUUGUCAUUUGCUUUUGGAAUCAAUGAAGAAGGUAUGCAGAAUGGCUGGUUUGAAGGAGCACUUUUGCUUGUGAUCAUAUUUGUGACUGUACUGAUUAAGAUAGCAAGAAUUUGGUACCAAAGGCGCUGUUGGAAGAAGCAAAAUGAUCACAAAGCAAACGCGAUACAAGUUAUGAGAGGAGGCAAAGAAGUGGCAAUCUCGGCCUCAGAUAUUGUUUACGGCGACAUAGCCUUCGUGAAGAAAGGACAUUCUGUUCCUGCACAUGGUUUGUUUGUUUCGGGUGAAGCAUUAGAGCUGUUCCAGCUGGAUGAUGGAAUAUUGUCCAUCGUCAAUGAGAAAAGUCCAUUUUUGCCUCCUGGUUCUAAGGUGAUUAAUGGUGAUGCUAGAAUGAUUGUUACAAGUGUUCAAGUGGACAAACCAAGCCAAGAAAACAAGAUUUCUGAAACGGAGUCCAAUUUUUGUGCCUACUUUGACAAGUUGAGCAAUUGCAUACAUAUUGGUGGGCUAUUGAUUAGCAUUUUGAUCAUUUUGGUGGUGUUCUUGCGCUUUAAAUUGGGCAAGAAAGAUGACGAGAACGGAUAUAGGUUAGAAACCAAGGGAGAACCAGCUGAACUUGCAUCAAUAGUGAAUGCCAUGAAGAAGGUUUUAACAGAAACAAAGGAAACAGCAAGAGUUUGGAUAGCUUUACUCGGUGUUACAAUGUUGGGGAUGACUGAAGGAAUACCAUUUCUUGUUUCAAUUGCAAUAGCAUAUUGGAAUUUAGAUGUUAAGAUGGAACCAGUCACCACUAUCUGUAUAGAAAAGGCUAGCUGGUUGAAAGAGCAAAAAUUGGAAGUUACUCAGUUUUUUCUUGGCAAAAAAGAUGUCACCGAGAUACCGCCACAUGUCUGCAGUGUUCUCUCUGAUGGAAUUGUUGUGUCCACUCUGACUUCUCAAAGAGCCUACCACAGAAUAGAAGAACCAAUACUAUGUUGGGCCGAGAAGAACACGGGUAUGCAAAGAGAGACUUUUGAUCAGCAGUGCACCAUAGUGAAUGACAAUGAUAUUGAGAUGAACCCUUUAGAAGAACCUUGUGGAGUUGUCAUAGAGAAAAAUGGAGACAAUGGGAAAGAGUACUAUUCACACUUCAAGGGCCCUGCUGAAUCAAUAUUGUCCAAGUGUUCCAGUUACUAUGACUUAGAAGGUCAAGUACAGCCCUUGGAUGAUGAAAGAAAGAGUGACUUUGCUCGAGUUAACAACAAUGUGAACGUAGUUGCAUUUGCCUGCAAACGUACUCAGGUUGCCGAACUUGAUGAAAAUGGGCUAACAUUCAUUGGUAUGCUUGUCUUAGAAGAUAGUACUAUCAAUCUGGACAACAUGAAGCAAGCAAUUGCGACUCUGAAAAAAGGCGGAGUGAAGACCAUAUUUGCCUCAGAAGAAGAUGUUGAAGUACUUGAUACUAUUGGUCAUGACACAGGAUUGCUCAAUUCACACGAUGCUCUAGUGGUUAAGGGUGAAGAUUUCUACAACUUCACUGCAGAUGAUAGGAAGGAAAAAGUUGAGAAAAUUUUCAUAAUGGGAAAUUCCUCUCCCGCACACAAGCUUCUUCUCAUAGAGUGUUUGAAGAGAAAAGGUGAAGUGGUGGUUGUGGUAGGAGAACAAGUAGCAGGUGAGUGUAAUCAGCUGGUACUUGAAGCAGCUAAUUUUGGCCUGCCUGUGGUGACUAAUGUAAUGAACUGGCCUGAAAUUAUAACUUUCGUGAUAAACAGGAUAAAGGGAGGAAGAAUUGUUUGUGAGAAUCUAAGGCAAUGGAUCCAACUUGAGCUAAUCUUGGCAAUCAGUAGCUCAUCAAUAAACUUCAUACUGGUUAUAUGCAACAGAGAUGCCCCAUUAACGACAAUUCAGUUAGUUUGGGUUAACCUUCUUGUUACGUUUAUUGGAGGGCCAGCUUUGCUAAUUACUCAACAGACCACAAGAAAACUAAGGGAUGAACUAUCUAUCAAACCGAGAAAACCCCUAGUUACCAAGGUGGUGUGGAGAAACAUACUAUUUCAAGCUAGUUAUCAGACUGGCAUUUUUGUAUAUCUGCAACACCGAGGAAGUGCAAUUCUGUACAUCACUCCAAAAGUUACCAAAAGUGUAGUCUUUAACGGGUUCGCUUUGUGCCAGAUUUUUAACAUGUUCAGUGCAAGGGAGGUGGAACAGAAGAACUUUUUCAAGGGACUUGGCCAAAAUUACUGGUUUUGGGCAGUGUCUGGGCUCUUUCUUGUGUUACAGGUGGGAUUCAUUGAAGUAGAGCCUCUCUUUAGCAAUACGGCACGACUGAAUUGGGAGCAAUGGGGUGGAUGCAUUUUGAUUGGAGCUGUUACAUGGCUGUUUGAUUGGAUAGUAAAAUGGGUAUCAGAAUACAUAAAGAUAGAUAAAUGUGACUGUGGGGUUCUUCACCUAGCUAGAAAGUGCAUAUCCAAUAUUGAUUUCAAGUAUUGCUUUAACAGAAUCAGUUGCUGCCUAAUCAUAUUAUAGCAAGUUCAAACAAAAAAGCUUUCUUUUUCUUCCUAAAAAUUUGGACAUCAAGUUCUAGUUCUUCUUCUUUUGCAGGGCUGGAUAACGAAUAUCGCAUUCACACGUCGUGUGAAAUCAACCAAGUGUAGAGCUAAUACUUUGGUGGAUUAAUCGUAUUGCAGUAGCUGCAGUUUUGAGUACAUCUUUCCCACGUUAUGUUAAUUCUUUCAUUAAGUUUCUCACUGUCACUUGGAUGGAGAAAUGAAGAUGCAAUAUUGUUCUUUUUUCUUUUCCCUUUUAACUAAAUUCAGGAAUGCAAACUUAUUAUGCAGAAAGCAAGAAUUCUAUAAAUUUCAAAUAUAGGAAAUUAAUUUGCUCAAAAUCAGGAUGGAAGCUAGCUAGUCAGUACACAUUCUGCUAAUUUACUGUAGUAAAGGAAGAUUGAUAUCAUAUGCAAAAAUAUAGCUUACCUCAAUGUAGAUUUUCUCAAACUUGGUGUAAAUAAUGUACUAGAGAGCUUUUCUUGAGGAAAAUUUAACUAGCCAGGGAUGCUACUGCAAGAC